AAGUGUCGGGUCCUCAGGCUAGGUAUGGCCGACAACCCAAUUACUUGAAUGUUGUGUAGAAACACGCACACCCCAUUUGCAUUCCAAUUUGUUAUGAAAAGGUUUUGAAAAAGGAACUUGAUGUUGAAUCAAGCGUUUGAAUUUAUUAUGAAAAUAGUGAGUGAAGAAUGGAGGUGAGAGAUAGAAUGAGGAUUGAGAAGAGAAUGGAGAAGAGAUGUAAAUGAUGGAUAUUGGAGUGAAUGGAGAAUGCUUGACGUUGGAUCAAGCAUUAACGUUGAAAAGGUG
rnacentral:lncRNA from 1 species